GGGAUAGACAGAGUAAGAGCGGACAUUGGCCCGCUGCUCACGUCGGUGAGUGCAUGCGCGAGCUGUGAAGUGUCGUCGACACCCCUCGGCGACGACGAUGAAUGAUCCUCUGGACCUGACCUCAGCCCAGCUUCGGGAAACCGUCCUCUGAUCGAGACCACCCAGGUUUUGUUCCCCCGGUGUUCGCGCACAAAGCACUGGCCAAGCGCUCGUCGGUGGCUAUACGCCCGUGCUAUCAGGCGGAAGGAGAUCGGCGGCAAAACGAACAAAGCGUUACCGCUUGUCGUGCCUUGUGGUCAUGACGACUGCUGAUCUCGCCGCAGCGCGGAAACUGCGUCGAGAGACUUCUACGCCUGCACCGUGUCGGCGUGAACUGGCUUCGCG
rnacentral:lncRNA from 1 species